AUUUACGACUUUCUCGAUGUGUAACAUACUGUUAAGUCAACUGACAUGACACCCCUUUGUUCAUAGUUUAAGUGACGUCAUUCAAGCUUAUUUGUAUGUUGCUUAUUUAUAAGUUUCUCACUGUAACGGUUCAGAGUUGAGCUAGGAUGAGAAUCUGUUCCUAAAUUCAUGUGAGGUCAGUUAUGUUGGGGUUUUGUUCACAAGUGAGGGAUGGAUGGAGGAUAACUGUCAUGGUGAAGAUAGAGCUGAGCCAAAAGACUAUAAGCUCCUCAUUCACUGGUGGAUUUCUACUCAGGAUCAGAAUCAAAUUUAUUGCCAUGGUCAGUGAGGAUCCCCACCAACUAGGAAAGUGUUUUGGAAUAAAAUAAAAUAGGCGGGAGGUUCUGGUCUGGAUCGACCCUAGCCUCCUGCUAGAGGGAAGAGGAACAAACAGUCCAUGACCAGGGUGAGAAGGGUCGGCUCUGAUCCCACCUGCACGUCUCUGGGUCCUGGAGACAUACAGGUCCUGAAGAGGUGGCAGACUACAACCGAUCACCUUCUCAGCAGUACGUAGGAUGCGGUGCAGUCUGCUCUUGUCCCUGAAGGUGGCGCUGUUGUAUCAGACGGUGAUAGAGGAGGUGAGGAUGGACUGGAUGAUGGCUGUGUAGAACUCAACCAGCAACUUCGUCAGCAGUCGUACUCUUUCCUGCGGCCACCAGCUUUGGGUAGAGAAUGGACAAAAUCCCUGAUGGAAAUGACAAAACAUAAGCAGAUGAGAGCUAGAAGAUCUCUUCCUCCGGUCGCCUGGUGCGGCCUCAGCAAGUCCAUCCCCAUUUUCUUGUUCGUCCCUGAAGCUGUUGUUGCCAAAGAUGCUGCAGCCUGCUCAGUUGGAGAGCGCUACAACAUGGCCUUCAAGAUCGUGCGCACAGAGAGCCGGCUGGUUCGAGAAAUACUAUCCAAUCAUGGGUUCCAUGAGGUCCACCCCAACAGCAAUGACUUCAAUCUCAUGUGGACCGGGUCUCACCUCAAGUCGUACUUGCUUCGGAACCUUCAAGAUUUUCAGAAGGUCAACCACUUUCCAAGGUCGUAUGAACUGACACGCAAAGAUCGUCUUUAUCGAAACAUCCAGCGAAUGCAACAGACAUACGGCUUCAAGAACUUCCUAAUCGUUCCUCAGACCUUCAUGCUUCCUUCAGAGUACCAGGACUUCUGCAAUUAUUUUGCCAAGGAUAAGGGUCCAUGGAUUAUCAAGCCUGUCGCGUCUUCAAGAGGACGAGGGAUUUACUUAGUCAGCGAUCCCAGUCAGAUCUCUAUGGAUGAAAACAUCUUGGUGUCCCGGUAUAUCAGUAACCCCUUGCUGAUUGACGAGUUCAAGUUCGACAUGCGUCUGUACGUGGUGGUGACGUCGUAUGAUCCGCUCCUCAUCUAUGUGUACGAGGAAGGUCUCGCCAGGUUUGCCACAGUCAAAUACGACCGGACCUUCAAGAGUAUAAAGAACACCUUCAUGCAUCUCACCAACUACAGUCUGAACAAGAAGAGCAGCGACUAUGUCAGCUGUGAUGACCCUGACGUGGAGGACUAUGGGAACAAGUGGAGCAUGAGUGCAGUGUUGAGAUUCUUGAAGCAAGAGGGGAAGAAUACGACAUUGUUGAUGAAGCAGGUGGAGGACUUGAUCAUCAAGGCGGUGUUGAGCGCCGAGCUGCAGAUCGCCACCGCCUGCAAGAUGUUUGUCCCCCACAAGACCAACUGCUUCGAGCUGUACGGCUUCGAUGUGCUGAUCGACUCCAGCCUCAAGCCCUGGUUGUUGGAAGUAAACCUCUCCCCAUCGUUGGCCUGCGACGCUCCUCUGGACCUGAAGAUCAAGGCCAGCAUGAUCGCUGACAUGCUCUCGCUUGUGGGUCUUGUGUGUCAGGACCCGUCGUCAAGACAGGCCCGCUCCGACCGAGGGGCCCCGGACCCCAAACAGCAGCGAGGACAGAAACCUUUUUCUGCACCGUCAUCCUCCACAAACAGUCGCCUGCAGAGGAGUUCCAGCUCUAGUAACUGGGAAACCGAAAGCCUGAAAGACAAGUUUGUGGUCAGACAAGGUCAAGGAGACAGUACACUGACCCUGACUGCUGAGGAGAUUAAGGUCCUGCGGAGGGUGAAGGAAGAGUACGAGAGACGUGGAGGCUUCAUCCGGAUUUUCCCAACAGCAGAAACCUGGCACCUCUACAGUGGAUAUCUGGAGUUCAAGACGUCGCUGAACUACAUGCUGGCCAACAGGCUUUUCCACGGACGGAGCAUGAAUGGACACUUGAAUAGUGACAACACACAACACACUGUCCAGUAUGAGAGGAAGCUGCUGACACUGGAGACUCGCAAGAGAAGGCAGCAACAUCUCAGGAAGAAGACAUCAGGGAAGGACUCCAAGACCUCCCCGCCUGAGAGGGCGGAAGAGGAAACAGAGGAGGGUAGCCGAGUUCUCAAGUGCGAUCCACAGCCGGCUUACGUAGCUGAGCAGGGAAAACAAGCAGCUGGACCGCUGGGUCGCUGCCACAACUUCAAGUCCAGACCCAAAGUGGACCUGCUGGGCAUCCUGCAGCAGGGCUGGGAUAUGAGUAAGGUCCAGGCUCGGGUGGCCUUCUCCUCGUACCUGCAGCGGGUCCAGCUCAGACUGCUGGCCGAGAGCAGAGCCAACUCAGCCUCGGCUUGGCCGGAGAAGGACAAUGACCAAAUGGAAUUGGUGAUGAGGUUCUUAAGAAGAGCAGCAAGCAAUCUUCAGCAGGACAUGAAGGUUGUCCUGCCCCAUCACCAGCUGCCUCUGCAAGACCGCAGACGCAUCCUGUCCCAGCAGCUUGGGGAGUUCAUCCACCGCUACAAUGAGGAAACGGCACACAUGGAGGAAAAGCCAGAGAGCAACUGCAAGCUGAGCUGUGUGAACGCCAGUGUGUUUGAGGAGUACAUCUCUGUGGCGAGUGAAAGUGACCUGGAGGAAGUGCUCACAUUCUACACGCAGAAAAAUAAAUCGGCCACCGUCUUUUUAGGUACGAGAGUCAGGAGUACUAAAAAAGAGGCUUCCUCCGGGCAGGAGCUCAGUGAGAAAUCCAGAACUUCCGAGGAGUCCAGCACUUCAGAGUCCUCACUGUCUCCGGGCAAAGCCGACCGGGACUCAAAGGCCACAGAGAGUCAUAUGCGUCUGUUGUCUGACCAGCAGCACGCCGCCGUCAGACACAUCAAAACCCAUCUGGGUUUUACCUAUACCCCGACUCAGCACUCAUCGUUCCAAGCGGCACGCCCUCACCCUCACCCCCAGCCCCCAUCCUACGCCCAGUCUCUCGCCAAAUCUCAGUUCUGCCAUUCUGAAAAUCAGACCCACCUCCCGGCUUACUCGGCGAGCCAGCCACCUGCGAAGGCGGCGUACACGGCGGUACCGACUUCAAACAAAGUGUGUGCAGGACAAACCACCCAGACGCUCAGGUGGAUUCCAUCCACGUCCAAUGCCGGAGCAAUAACCUCCAUCAAUGAUGCCAGGCACGUCUACAGCCAGAAGCUCUGCAGACCCACCUCAGCAGGCCAGGUCGUGCGGUGGGGCAGUACCGGCAAGCCCAAGUCAAGCUCAGCGAGCACCAUCAAGGAUGUGAACCCAGUGCAGGCCCAGGCCCAGUCCGGCCACCAAGCUUUCAUCACUGCUCUGCAGAAGCUGACCGACAAACAGUUGAGCGGCCUGAACUUGGCCAGCAAGAUGUUGAACCGGGAAGCCUUCACUCUGGGUUCAAAGGUCCGACAAGCUGCCACAGGUGCAGAGGCCGCCUUCAAAUGUGACAAAUCUGGGACUGAAGCGAGCCAUAUUCCUUCAAGUCUCCAAGAGGGCCUGAUGCAAAGCGCUUAUGGCCUUGUGUCGGCCGUGGACCCCAAGCAUCAGGUCACUGCGGGCAGCUACCCACUCCACUUCGCGAUCAAGCAACUACAACAACAGAAGUGCCGGCAGCGACAGCUGGUGGAGCCGAGCCACUGCCAGCACCAGGUCCAGCACUGUGAGGCGACAAUCGCCCCCGUCUCCUCUGGUGGUCGCUUUUGUCCCCAGCACAACUCCAGCCUCAUGCCGACGUGUGUCAAUCCUGCUCUCCCCCCGAAACCUCCCAGCACAGCCAGAGAGAGCCAGAGCAGGAAAACAAAGCGCCUCAUCAAGCAACCGUCGCAGGAGAGGUCAGCCAGCGGAACAGUCUCCAGUAGCCAACAGAUGGUCUACGAGGCGCUCUGUGGUAAAACAGGUUUGUCUGUGUACUGCACGCUGUUCACUGGCCCAGAGCCAAGUCACAGAUGACACCAAGUUGACCGAGGAGAAGUCCUCCCCGUCUGCUGGCCCAACAGGUGUCCCUGCAUGUGACUGGAUAUUCUGGGCAGACGGCAUUUGCAGACAUCGGAUCCUUAUAAUCUCUGUGUGUCCGAGCCUCAGGACGUGUGCCAGGCCAGGAAUCCCCAGCUUCAUUCCGGGUGGGGAAUUUUAUCAUGUAGCUCACCAUCAUCAGAUCCGCUCACCGGCCGCCCACCCUCGUCUGCAGCCCCAGCGCGAUGAUGUCAGUAACAGGUAGAGACUUUAGCAGAUGUUCCCCUCCAGCCCUGAGCAGACGAGCGCCUCAAUUUUCACGCUGAUUUGUUGAGGUAACACAUGCUGGAGUUGUGACUUCCUCUCCAUGCUGAAGCCAAAUCUAACUCUGUUUCUAGCCAAAGGAUGUGUCAAAGAUCAGCAUCUGGUGCUCAGAGAACUUCCUCUAUCUCUAAACACUGGCAGACUUAGCUGUUUCCAGUCCAGCGUGGAGAUCAAUCCCCUACCUGUUACUGCGGUUGAACUAUCCGUCCAGGGAGACAGUCUUGGUGACAUCCCUCCUUCAACUGGAGCAGCAGCAUCUUACAGUAUCUCUGAGUCGGACUACCGGGUCACACAUUGUACAACUGUAGAUAAUUCAACAGCUGACCAUGUCUAGUAGAGUCUCCAGUCGCAGCUAUUGUAUGAAGCCGCUGCAAAACGUACUGCCGGAUCUGACUCUGAUAUGUUCUCUUUCGCCCACACGUUCAGAAAUCUGACAUUCAGUGGUGUGCUAAAGUGAAUGACCUAGUAUUUGCACACUCCAUAGUUUUGCUGACUUGUGUUUGAGCAAGUUACUGUGAUUGAUAGCAAGUCAAGUACUGGUUGUCUGUACUGGUGGAGCUGGUGCUCUGACAGCUUAAAUGACCCUUAAAGUCAUGGUCAGGCCACAGUAAAAACCCAGAUGCAAUGCCUUUGAUAGUUGCAAUGGGGAAGCUUGUACCCCAGCUGAGGUUUAUGCUGUUAUAUUAGAAAACACGCUUUCUUAAAGAUGUUUCAGGGCCUCCACUAUGUCAGGGACUGAGGUCCUCCACCACCAUAUCAGGGGUUCUUACUGGCAACUGGAGGAGCAUUGCCUUCUCCAUGUUGGUUAACCCAGAGUCAAGCCUUUGACCAGCUUUUGCAUUUCCCCAGCAACCGCGUUGAUCUAUUCCAUCGACCCUUCAGGGCGUCUGCUGGCAUGUCUGGGAUGUUCAGUGGGGAGUCGUAACCUGACAGCACAGCCAGGAAACUGCUAGGUACAUUACUGAAGGAGGCGUUGAGGACUCUGUCGGGGGUUGUCAUUUCUAUCGGCCAGAGUCUUGUCAAGGCCCCAGGAUUUGUUGUCUUACAAAGGUGUAGCUAAUGCGGUGCCUGGGGGAAUCAGGUAGCCAGCAGGGACCAUGGAAGUUGGCCAGUAUUAAUAAACAUGGUGACCCCUGCUUGAGAAGAGAAUCUGCACUUUACCCAGCGGGACUGUAACUCAAGCCUUUUGUGCUUGUGGGCUUGGCUGUUUAUGAAUGAACUCCUGAAGGCCUCUGAUCUCCAGUGCUUUUUGUGGGUGUCACAGUGCAUUGUCUGACACAACAAUUGCACUUUCACCUCCAUCACUUGCCUACAUGAUGGAGUCGCGAACUGAAUGGGGGUUUUGAAACUUGAGCCUCCAUAACUCUCGAUUUAUUGUGGAUCGAAUCCCUUUUAUAGUUUUCGGCCAGCUACUUUUAACUGUACAAAUGAAGGAGGCUGUGCUGUAUAGAAAUGUAGGAGUGGAUCAUUUGUCUUUUUUAUGUUUUUUUUUUCUCAGAAAAUGUAAAGCAUUUGCACUCAGAUUCUUUCUUGACCUGUGAGGUGUUGGACCAACUGUUACAAUUUUGUCUUGAAAUAUUGUGGCAUGUUUAUUUAUUGUGAGGACCAAAGUUGUUGUGUAGCUUAUAAUACAAGUAUGCAGAGCCUUUGAUGAAGGUUGUAGGACCAUCGAGCACUCAGGGUGUAGUAACAAGAGUAAUAAGUGUGAUGUUAUUUAUAUUUUUUAUGUCCAAAAUACUUGAAUUAUUUUGCAUGUCUGACCGUGUGCUGUCGUGUUUGUGUGCAUGCUACAAGAAUCCUACUGCCAGAAGUAAGUCAGUGUUUGCCUUCUCCUGUGAUGAAGAUUUACUUUUGUUCAGGGUUGUUUUUACUGAAGCAGCACGGCGAUCGGACAUGCUGAAUGUGGCAAUAAAAACUGUCAAUAGUGGGUUGUUUUUUUUUUUCGUCUCUUAAAUUCUCAACAGGAUUCCCAACACCGGAGGUGAUCACUGGAACCAGACAACAUUGAGUAUGUGAGCGUCCCCAGUCGUUCGGACGUGUUUGCCCGGGAAUUAUCAACAUGUUAUGGUUGAAACUCCAUCUGCAGUGUGUUCAUGGGUGAAGGAAAAGGCUCUUCUUAGUCUCCACUUCAGGUGCUUCAAGGUGGAGGUAGGAGACAUUUUGAAAAGAAGCCUCUUGAAGGUGCUGUUGAACUAGCUCACAGUCUGCAAUAAAC